GAGCAAGUCUGCCACCCACUGUGAAGAUCGACAGAGGACACACGAGGCAGUAGCCCCACAUAUGGAGGAAGCUCCAGGACUAUGCCUCCAACCAGUGAAAAGUAAUGGAUGUUCCUUGUGACUGUGAUCCCACCCACUGGGUGUUGAAACCCACUUCUUCUGACACUCCUGAAGUUGUCUGUCACGGAGGAAGGGAGCAGCGUCUUGUUCGAAGGCUGCCUACAACUGGCAAUACUGCCCCCUCAGCUUCCUGAAUGCUGGGAUUUCAAGUCAGUGCUGCCACACCUGGCUACCACAUCACUUUUUUUAAAAAAGUCUAUUCUUCUCUGUGAACCCCAUGAAGGCUGAGGUUCAGACCCCAUGAAGCAUUGUUCUGAUGAAAGGAAUCCUUGCUUUAUUUUAUCUGGGGCACUGGGACUCGAACCAGAACCUUACACUAUACAAACUCUACCACUGAGCUCUGCCCCUCAGACCAUUUACUACUGUUUUAUUUUGUUUUGUUAGAUAGGAUCUCAUGUACC
rnacentral:lncRNA from 1 species